AUGAACGCUAGCGGCAGGCUUAAUACAUACAAGUUGAGGGGCAGCAUGAUAUACGCGAGUAUAUUGAUGGCGACCGGCGGACGGGUGAGUAAUAGGUAGGAGACCUACCUCAUACAGGGGGAUAGCAUAGAGAAAUCUGUGGUAAUACCCCAUGAGGUUAUAUGAAUAGAGGCAUAUAAUCAAAGCAUAAGCGAUUAUGCGGUAUGAGAGGGGCCUACUGACCAUUAGCUAGUUGGUGAGGUAAGGGCUCACCAAGGCGAAGAUGGUUAGGGGUUUUGAGAGAGAGACCCCCCACAUUGGAACUGAGAGACGGUCCAGACUCCUACGGGAGGCAGCAGUAGGGAAUAUUGGGCAAUGGGCGAAAGCCUGACCCAGCCAUGCCGCGUGAAGGAAGACGGCCUUAUGGGUUGUAAACUUCUUUACUACGCGAAUAGAGGUUAGUACGAGAUACUAAUAGGAAGGUAGUGUAGUAAAAAAGCACCGGCUAACUCCGUG
rnacentral:rRNA from 1 species